rnacentral:snoRNA from 1 species
CCUGCUCCUAGAAGGGUUGCAAGUGUGGUUGCUAUGUCACACCUGCAUCAGUAGGUGGCAGAGGGGAGAGAGACAAAGGCUACCUUCAGAGUUCUGACCUAUGAUUAGUAGCCUAACACU